rnacentral:tRNA from 1 species
GAGGGUAUAGCUCAAAGUGGUAGAGCAUGUGCAUAACAUGCAACAAGGUCCUGGGUUCAAUCCCCAGUACCUCCU